CUUGGUCUGGAACUUCUAGUGUGUAAAAGUGUGAGACAACACAUUUCUGUUGUUUAAGACACACAAUCUGUGGUACUUUGAUACAGCAGCCCUGACAAACUAAUACAUGGGGUGUCUCAUUGUAGUUUUAAUCAGUAACACCCAUUAUGAACUGAAAACGUCUGCUACUUUUAAGAUCCAACUUGAAUGCUUCCUGAUUAAAUAUAUACAGGAGUGAUUUCAGAGGAAUUUAAGUUUUGGAUCAUUCUUUUGAGAAAGAAAGAAAAGUACCCUUUUAAAAGAGGUUCAACAAAGCCAUUAAGACUAACCGUUUUUGCUGGAGCUGCAAGAUUUUCCAUUUCUUCAUGAGUCACCCAAACGUUGCCUGAAGGCUAGUGAGGAGGCCCAGAGGGAAGCAGAGGAAUCCAUGGGAGGCAAGCAGUGGUAAAGAAGAAAGGCAGCACCUCUACUUUCUUCUGCCACUGCCACUCCUGAGACAACAUGACCAAUCUCUCCCCUUCCUCCUCCUCAGCGUACUUUCAACAUAAAGACGACGAGGAUAAAGGCAUUUAUGAUGAACUACUUCCACAUAAUGAAUAAUUGAACAAAGGAGAGAAUUGUGAGAGUGAGAAAAAGUGAGACAAAGAAGAAAAACUAUAAAUCAGCAAAAUACAGUGCCAAGAGCUCUGGACCACAAAUCAGAAGACCUGAGCCCUAAUUCCUUUCCAGUCAUUGGAUUUGUUCGUCGCUUGCCAAAAUAGCAGCGAACUCUCUGUCAAACUGCAACUCAUUUUAUCGGAGCAAAAACUGAACAAAGAACUGCUAUCAUUUCUGAGGUCAGAGGCAGUGCAGCUUGUGUUACAACUCAAAAGAGUAAUACUCUGAAAAAAGAAAAAAAAAGAUGGCGCUGAAAAUAAACAUGUUCAGCAGCCAUUGUGAUUCAACUUACCCAGAUGUGCUUUUCAUGAGAUGGAGAAGGACGGAUGGAAAAGAAAAGCACACAAAUGUUAAUGGAUACAGUUCAAUCCAAAGAAAACCAUGGAAUAAAACAAGAGCAUUAUUUAAGAUGUGAGAAAGCUCAGGUAUGAGAAAGACAUGGUG
rnacentral:lncRNA from 1 species